GUCACAAAGGCACAGACGCUGAGGCUUGUGGGAACGGUUCUGAGAGACCGCCUCACGCCCGCCACCUGGCAGAGCUGUUGAUUGCGAGGGAGGGAGAAGAGGUGUGCACCCCGGGAAGGCGGAACCCCAGGGGAGAGCGGAAGAAUCGUUGCAUUAGUUGAUGAAUUCAUUUCUUCCACUCAUCGUAGUGCAAGGCUCUGCGGCGUUUACCCAGAAGACUACCUUGUCCCUAUCCCAGAGGACCCAAAAGAGACUGGAGAGAAGAGACGCUGCUUUCAGAAUGUCGCCAAAAAAGCUGACACUUAAUGGGCACCUCAUGUUUAAGGGCUUUGUCACUCGAUAUAAAUUCCUGCUCCUCUCUCCAACAACGUUUCAAGAUGGGUAUAAAAACCCACUUCACAGGAGACCUCCUCCACAUCUAUGCUUCAGCCACGGCUUCUCCACCUGUAAAUCCUCCCCGGCUUUCCGAGCUGAGCUCAGACCUGACUCCUGCGGGGAAGCCAUGUGCAGCGGAUGCUGUCAGUGCCCUCCCACAUCCCCGGCGCUCCUCACGCCUCCAUCAGCUUCCCACUGCGGCU
rnacentral:lncRNA from 1 species